GACGAACGCUGGCGGCGUGCUUAACACAUGCAAGUCGAACGGUAAGGCCCUUCGGGGUACACGAGUGGCGAACGGGUGAGUAACACGUGGGUGAUCUGCCCUGCACUUCGGGAUAAGCCUGGGAAACUGGGUCUAAUACCGGAUAGGACCACUGCCUGCAUGGGUGGUGGUGGAAAGCUUUUGCGGUGUGGGAUGGGCCCGCGGCCUAUCAGCUUGUUGGUGGGGUGAUGGCCUACCAAGGCGACGACGGGUAGCCGGCCUGAGAGGGUGACCGGCCACACGGGGACUGAGAUACGGCCCAGACUCCUACGGGAGGCAGCAGUGGGGAAUAUUGCACAAUAGGCUCAAGCCUGAUGCAGCGACGCCGCGUGAGGGAUGACGGCCUUCGGGUUGUAAACCUCUUUCAGCACCGACGAAGCGCAAGUGACGGUAGGUGCGGAAGAAGGACCGGCCAACUACGUGCCAGCCGCCGCAGUAA
rnacentral:rRNA from 1 species